rnacentral:rRNA from 1 species
UACGUGGGGGGCAAAUGUUGUUCGGAAUCACUGGGCGUAAAGGGAUCGUAGGCGGGUUUCUAAGUCAGGUGUUUAAUCCCGGGGCCCAACCCCGGACAGGCACUUGAAACUGGGAAUCUUGAAUAGUGGAGAGGUCAGUGGAAUUGGGGGUGUAGCGGUGGAAUGCGUAGAGAUCCCCAAGAACACCAGGUGCGAAGGCGGCUGACUGGACACAUAUUGACGCUGAGGCUCGAAAGCAUGGGGAGCAAACAGG